ensembl:lncRNA
GAGUAGAUAGGACACGCCCCUUUGAGCUGCGUGCUACAGCGAGGCUAAGCUAAUGGGGGCAAAGUUUCAGUGCAUUCCUUGAUGUAGACGGCGUGAAAACGGAAACAAGUAUGCUGGCUAACUAUGCUGCAUACAAUUACACACUGCGUCGUACAAUUGAGACAAGGAAACCUGGAAUGACUUUUCAUAGGUUUCCCAGAGACUAUGGGUUGAGGAGGAAUUGGAAGUUUGUCGGCUUAGACCUGGUGUCAUUCCAUCAGUGUUAAACUUCCCGGCUCAUCUUGGAAGAGUACGUGCCAGAAAGACCACGACCAAGCAGCCUUGAGAUCUUAGGCAGCGUCUCCCUGAGGUCCCUCUCUAUCUCCCCACACAUCCACCAACCACUGGAACACAUCUCCAAAGUUCUGCCGGGCCAGCUCAGCUUCCCCUCAGAAGAAGUGCUGCCACCUGCCAGAUGAAGGAGCCUUUUGAGAGGCAGCUGACAUCGUGAUUGGACUGUACUUUGGUCUGUUCCAAUCCAGCUUCAGCUCCAGAGACGGCAGGCGGGACGAGUCAACGGAGGCCUGGUGGACGAAGACCAAAGAACUACAGACUCUUCACAACCUGCUCAAACUCUUGGUACAGGACCUCACCACACGGAUCAAGAAGGUUUCCAUCUCAUUUCUACUCUGAAGCUCACCUUGUCCUGCUCAAACUGCUGACAAAUGUUUCUGCUGCUCUAAAGUCUGCUCUCCAGAACUUCCUAAAAACUCUCAAAGUCUCUUCUGCUGCAGGUUGCUUUGUAGAACUGUUCCAGAAAACCUCACUAAACCACAUGGAGGGGCCUCAAGAUAGUCGUCCAAAUGAAACCAUACAAAAACCAAACUAGUACAACCCAAACGCUAAAGUCUCCUGCAGCCUACCAGAGAACCUCUGAGAACAGAGAAUCAGGACAGGAUCUCUUACCUUCUGGACAACCAACGCUGGUUCACAAACACACAGAAUGUGUCUGACCAAAAACCUCUGAAGACUCACUACAGCCAAGAUAAAGACACAACUCAGCUGCACCAAAUCCACUAAUCACUGCACACAUUAGCACCAUGUGCUAACUGUGGCUAAAGAACCACAUUUACCAAGACAACUAUCCAGUACAAAGCCCUAAAACACACCAAGAAACACAUUAAAGAUGAUUUUACUGCUGGAAGCUGCAAACCAACGCCUAAAGAACAAACUAAAGCAACGGAGCCAAACUCGGUUCACUGGUGAAGAGAAGCAGAGGAAAUGUUUGCUGCAGCUAAAUAAAGCAGGAAGACACUGAGCUGCUCAGGUGUUCCUGAUAACACCAAGCAGCCACCUGGACAGCCAAUAGGAACACAGCUUACUGGAAGUCCAGAGGGCUGGCUUAGUGAAGGAAAUUUAAUUUAAAGUUGAAGCAGAAAGUUAACAAAGAAAGUUGAAAACCACCUUCUGAUACCUGAAAUCUCUGAGUUUUCCCACAAAGAACACCUGAACAUGUCAAACUGGUUUCAUAGUAGAACCAUCGUUGUAAAAACGUCAUAGUAUGGUGUGUUGCUCAGAAAACAUUACGACCCGGCUGUCAGGGGACAAACAUGUAAGAAACAUGAGAACAGAGAGAACCCAACCAGUAGGUCACAGUUUAUCAUCCCCCAGUCAUCUCCUGAAGUCCAUAUGGUGAGAGACAUCAGUAUCUGGUUGUUAAUUUACCAGAGGAUGCUUAUAAUCAUGCUGAUGUGGUCUGUACUCUACAGUAUUUUAGUGACUCAAUAAAUGCCUAAGUUGUUUUUUUUUUAAAUGCUUUUUAGUUUUUAAUAAACAUUUAAUAGCCUAUAUGUAAU